CUCUCAUGUAAGAACAUUGUUAAAAUAUCCAAAGCUGAGUCUACCUUGAUGGAAGCAUACUCUCCCUCCUGUCCCUACUGCGUAGAGGCCAAACAGGAACUAGAGUGCAGUUCCAGGGAAGUUGUUAUGGAGAAUACUCUUCACUGAUGUGUAAUCCAGGAAAAAAGAAUCCGUGAGCUGAAUCAGAUUGGUAGUCAGCAAGAUUUUUCAUCUGAAUUGCCCUGUCUAAGCAGUUUGCAGUUACUACUUUGGAAUCAAUGGUAGCAAUAGAUAAUAGACUUAAAAAACAAACAAACAAACAAAACAAAAACCUAAGGGACCUUGCACUUUGUUUUAAAGGGAUUUUUUUUUUAAACCUAAUGAUAAUUUUUAAAAACUUUUAAUUGGAGUUUUCUUUAAACCCUAAUAUGUCCCUAUAGAACUUUUUACUUUGAAGAAUUGACUAAUUUUUUUUGAUACUUCUUUUUCUUUAUUCUUUAACUUGUAUUCAUAAAAGAGAUAAAUGUUCUAAAGAAUAUGUAACUUGGUAGAGAUUUGGCUUGAUGUAGAUUCUCUCAUACACUCUGAAGUGAGUUGCUCUCUUAACACAAAUCUGUCCUAGGACUUCAGCCUAAUAUUACUUCUAGCAUAAAGAAAGAAUAUCAUGAAGGAUUAUGAAGACCAAGAUUAUAAUUAUUUAUCUUACUGGGAUAGAUUCAGUGGACUUUUUUAUGCAUGUUAAAUGUAAAUAUUAAUCCUUGUAAUUGGUCCUUCAGAUUUAGGCCAGAAUAAAAUACAAAUCAAUCAAUUAAGAUAUUACGAGAGGAGUUAUAUUGAGUAGGAGCUGUAGAGAACAUGAUGAAAGUUUGGUUAAGCUAGGUAAGUUGAAGAGAAUCCAAUUUCUAAGAGUAGGUAUUGAGAAAAUGUUAGCACUAUGGGAUAUUGGGAAGGAAACUUCUUCAGCGCAAUUGCAUACUCCACCCAGGGGUUAUGCUUGAAGAGCCCAGGUAGGGAAAAAAGAAAAAAAAAGACCUUGGUCUACAGCUGAGGAAAAGUUAAGUGUUCCAUAAAGCAUUUGUCAAAAAAUUGAUGCAGGAAGAAGGUUUCUGUAUUGAGACUACCUGUAUUUGCCAUUUUCACAGGUUUUCACACAGCUACUUUCUCCGGUAUUAAAACCCUAUCAGAAACAUUUCAUUUCUAUGAUAGAACCACAAUUUGUCUUUCUUUUGUCAAGUAAAUAAAAAAAAAAAAUUCCCACUGUUGUCGCUUGAUGAUGGUAAUAUCGUGAUGGUGGUAACAACAAAAGGAAGAGGAAGAAGAGGAGAGAGGUUGAAGGCAAACUUGAAGUUCAUGGUUAUUAUUUGAAGAAAGCCAGAGAUUAGUCAUUGGAUCUGAGGUGUUCCCUGAAAGCUCAUGUGUGAAACAAUGCAGGAAUGUUCAAAGGUGAAGUGAUUAGAUUAUGAGAGUUGUCAGUCAGUCAUUUAGUCCAUUUGAUGGAUUAUUAAUUUGAAAGGGCUACUCUACUGGUGGUAACUGUAAGUGGGUAGAGGGUGUGACUGGAGCAAAUAGUUAAUUGAGGGUGU
rnacentral:lncRNA from 1 species